rnacentral:rRNA from 1 species
GGUUAAGUGACUAAGCGUACACGGUGGAUGCCUAGGCAGUCAGAGGCGAUGAAGGACGUGCUAAUCUGCGAAAAGCGCCGGUGAGCUGAUAUGAAGCGUUAUCAGCCGGCGAUGUCCGAAUGGGGAAACCCGGUGCAACUCGUUGCAUCAUCGUUAAGUGAAUCCAUAGCUUAACGAAGCGAACCAGGGGAACUGAAACAUCUCAGUACCCUGAGGAAAAGAAAUCAACCGAGAUUCCCCCAGUAGCGGCGAGCGAACGGGGAACAGCCCAGAGCCAUCAUCAGCUUGCGCAUCAGGAGAACGGUCUGGAAAGUCCGGCGACAGAGGGUGAUAGCCCCGUAUCCGAAGGUGCGCUUGUUGUGAGCUCGAUGAGUAGGGCGGGACACGUGAUAUCCUGUCUGAAGAUGGGGGGACCAUCCUCCAAGGCUAAAUACUCCUGACUGACCGAUAGUGAACCAGUACCGUGAGGGAAAGGCGAAAAGAACCCCGGCGAGGGGAGUGAAAUAGAACCUGAAACCGUGUACGUACAAGCAGUGGGAGCAUCCUUCGGGGUGUGACUGCGUACCUUUUGUAUAAUGGGUCAGCGACUUAUAUUCUGUAGCAAGGUUAACCGUAUAGGGGAGCCGCAGGGAAACCGAGUCUUAACUGGGCGUCUAGUUGCAGGGUAUAGACCCGAAACCCGGUGAUCUAGCCAUGGGCAGGUUGAAGGUUGGGUAACACUAACUGGAGGACCGAACCGACUAAUGUUGAAAAAUUAGCGGAUGACUUGUGGCUGGGGGUGAAAGGCCAAUCAAACCGGGAGAUAGCUGGUUCUCCCCGAAAGCUAUUUAGGUAGCGCCUCGUGACGUCAUCUACGGGGGUAGAGCACUGUUUCGGCUAGGGGUCCAUCCCGGAUUACCAACCCGAUGCAAACUGCGAAUACCGUAGAAUGUAAUCACGGGAGACACACGGCGGGUGCUAACGUCCGUCGUGAAGAGGGAAACAACCCAGACCGCCAGCUAAGGUCCCAAAGUCAUGGUUAAGUGGGAAACGAUGUGGGAAGGCCCAGACAGCCAGGAUGUUGGCUUAGAAGCAGCCAUCAUUUAAAGAAAGCGUAAUAGCUCACUGGUCGAGUCGGCCUGCGCGGAAGAUGUAACGGGGCUAAACCAUGCACCGAAGCUGCGGCAGCGACACGUAAGUGUUGUUGGGUAGGGGAGCGUUCUGUAAGCCUGCGAAGGUGGCCUGUGAGGGCUGCUGGAGGUAUCAGAAGUGCGAAUGCUGACAUAAGUAACGAUAAAGCGGGUGAAAAGCCCGCUCGCCGGAAGACCAAGGGUUCCUGUUCAACGUUAAUCGGAGCAGGGUGAGUCGACCCCUAAGGCGAGGCCGAAAGGCGUAGUCGAUGGGAAACAGGUUAAUAUUCCUGUACUGGGUGUGACUGCGAAGGGGGACGGAGAAAGCUAGGUUCGCCGGGCGACGGUUGUCCCGGUUCAAGCGUGAAGGUGGAAUGAGCAGGCAAAUCCGCUCAUUCUCAACACUGAGGCGUGAUGACGAGCCACUACGGUGGUGAAGGAAUUGAUGCUACGCUUCCAGGAAAAGCCUCUAAGCUCCAGGUCACAUCGAAUCGUACCCCAAACCGACACAGGUGGUCAGGUAGAGAAUACCCAGGCGCUUGAGAGAACUCGGGUGAAGGAACUAGGCAAAAUGGUGCCGUAACUUCGGGAGAAGGCACGCUGGCAUGUAGGUGGAGGGCCUUGCGCCCCGAGCUGAAGCCAGUCGCAGAUACCAGCUGGCUGCAACUGUUUAUUAAAAACACAGCACUGUGCAAACACGAAAGUGGACGUAUACGGUGUGACGCCUGCCCGGUGCCGGAAGGUUAAUUGAUGGGGUUAUCGCUUGCGAGAAGCUCUUGAUCGAAGCCCCGGUAAACGGCGGCCGUAACUAUAACGGUCCUAAGGUACGAAAUUCCUUGUCGGGUAAGUUCCGACCUGCACGAAUGGCGUAAUGAUGGCCAGGCUGUCUCCACCCGAGACUCAGUGAAAUUGAACUCGCCGUGAAGAUGCGGUGUACCCGCGGCAAGACGGAAAGACCCCGUGAACCUUUACUAUAGCUUGACACUGAACAUUGAGCCUUGAUGUGUAGGAUAGGUGGGAGGCUUUGAAGUGUGGACGCCAGUCUGCAUGGAGCCAACCUUGAAAUACCACCCUUUAAUGUUUGAUGUUCUCACUCAGGCCCGUUAUCCGGGCCGAGGACAGUGUCUGGUGGGUAGUUUGACUGGGGCGGUCUCCUCCCAAAGUGUAACGGAGAGCACGAAGGUUAGCUAAUCACGGUCGGACAUCGUGAGGUUAGUGCAAAGGCAUAAGCUAGCUUGACUGCGAGAGUGACGGCUCGAGCAGGUGCGAAAGCAGGUCUUAGUGAUCCGGUGGUUCUGAAUGGAAGGGCCAUCGCUCAACGGAUAAAGUACUCCGGGGAUAACAGGCUGAUACCGCCCAAGAGUUCAUAUCGACGGCGGUGUUUGGCACCUCGAUGUCGGCUCAUCACAUCCUGGGGCUGAAGUAGGUCCCAAGGGUAUGGCUGUUCGCCAUUUAAAGUGGUACGCGAGCUGGGUUUAGAACGUCGUGAGACAGUUCGGUCCCUAUCUGCCGUGGGCGCUGGAAGAUUGAGAGGGGCUGCUCCUAGUACGAGAGGACCGGAGUGGACGCACCACUGGUGUUCGGGUUGUCAUGCCAAUGGCAUUGCCCGGUAGCUACGUGCGGAAGAGAUAACCGCUGAAAGCAUCUAAGCGGGAAACUUGCCUCGAGAUGAGUCUUCCCUGAGGCCUAGAGCCUCCUGAAGGGACGUUAAAGACGAUGACGUUGAUAGGUCGGGUGUGUAAGCGCUGCGAGGCGUUGAGCUAACCGAUACUAAUGACCCGUGAGACUUAACCUU